rnacentral:rRNA from 1 species
UACGUAGGGGGCUAGCGUUGUCCGGAUUUAUUGGGCGUAAAGAGCGUGUAGGCGGCCUGACAGGUCUGCUGUGAAAACUCGAGGCUCAACCUCGAGAUGUCGGCGGAAACCGUCUGGCUAGAGUCCGGAAGAGGAGAGUGGAAUUCCAGGUGUAGCGGUGAAAUGCGUAGAUAUCUGGAGGAACACCGGUGGCGAAGGCGGCAUCCUGGACCGACACUGACGCUGAGGAGCGAAAGCCAGGGGAGCAAACGGG